rnacentral:rRNA from 1 species
UACGUAGGGUGCAAGCGUUAAUCGGAAUUACUGGGCGUAAAGCGUGCGCAGGCGGUUUUGUAAGUUUGUCGUGAAAGCCCCGGGCUCAACCUGGGAAUUGCGAUGAAGACUGCAAGGCUUGAAUCUGGCAGAGGGGGGUAGAAUUCCACGUGUAGCGGUGAAAUGCUUAGAGAUGUGGAGGAACACCGAUGGCGAAGGCAGCCCCCUGGGUCAAGAUUGACGCUCAUGCACGAAAGCGUGGGGAGCAAACAGG